rnacentral:rRNA from 1 species
UGUAGAAUCCCAUGAAUCAUCAAGUCUUUGAACGCAAGUUGUGGCCGAGGCCUCGGCUGAGGGCACAUCUACUUUGGCAUUGCAUAACUAAUCACCCCCACCCUUCGGGCGCGGGAGCGUGGAGCUGGUCAUUCGUGCCCCCAGUGGCGUGGUCAUCUAAAAACCACGUGGUCGUCGUCUCUCCGCAUUAGCGAGUGGUUUCCAGGUUGCGCGGUACACGGUUGAUCGGCGUCGGCUGGGAGUAUCUGGAAAUCGUCUCCAAGAAUAACUUCAAACUCCGGGCUCGGUCACACCAUGAAAGCGGGGUGACCAUCCGGAUGCUGCUCGCGACCCCAGGUCAGGCGAGAACACCCGCUAAGUUUAA